rnacentral:tRNA from 1 species
GUUCAGGAUGGCCGAGUGGUUAUGGCGUCAGACUAAAAAUCUGACUCACGUUUGUGAGCGUAGGUUCGAAUCCUGCUCCUGACG